rnacentral:lncRNA from 1 species
UAAGCCCAUCCAAGCCACCCCCUCUCCAUGCCCAAAGAGCUCCCCACACCCCUCUUCCUUCUCCCUUUGUCUUCUUCUCCCUUGGGCAUCCCAUAUACGCCCCAUACUUGGGACGCGCGUCCCAAGUGUUGCACACGCCCAAGGUUUUGGGUGACCCUUCAUCUAAUGGUUGUUGGUUUCUUGUAGCACCACAAGGCAAGGAGAAAGGC